rnacentral:sRNA from 1 species
UAAGCGUGUGCUUGCACAAACGCUUACGCACAUCUGGCGAACGUACAAACAUGAGGAAGGAGCCGUUUUGCGCAUGCCUUUUGCGCAAAACGAGCGGAAUCCGAAUGUUUGCAGCAUUGUGAGAGCGUGUAAGCGCGGAACAAUGCGGAGUU